GACAGAGGUUGCAAACGUUGUUCGGAAUCACUGGGCAUAAAGCGCACGUAGGCGGUCUGUUAAGUCAGGUGUGAAAGCCCCCGGCUCAACCGGGGAAUUGCAUUUGAUACUGGCAGGCUCGAGAACGGUAGGGGUGAGUGGAACUCCAGGUGGAGCGGUGAAAUGCGUAGAUAUCUGGAGGAACACCGGUGGCGAAAGCGGCUCACUGGACCGUCACUGACGCUGAGGUGCGAAAGCUAGGGUAGCAAAC
rnacentral:rRNA from 1 species